rnacentral:rRNA from 1 species
AUUGAACGCUGGCGGCAGGCCUAACACAUGCAAGUCGAGCGGAGCGGCGGACGGGUGAGUAAUGCCUAGGACUCUGCCUGGUGGUGGGGGAUAACGUCCGGGAACGGGCGCUGAUACCGCAUACUAUCAGAUGAGCCUAGGUCGGAUUAGCUAGUUGGAGGGGUAAAGGCCUACCAAGGCGACGAUCCGUAACUGGUCUGAGCGGAUGAUCAGUCACACGGGAACUGGAACCCGGUCCAGAAUCCUACGGGCGGCAGCAGUGGGGAAUAUUGGACAAUGGGCGAAAGCCUGAUCCAGCCAUGCGGCGUGUGUGAAGAAGGUCUUCGGAUUGUAAAGCACUUUAAGUUGGGAGGCGUUACCAACAGAAUAAGCACCGGCUAACUUCGUGCCAGCCGCCGCGGUAAUAC